ACUCUUACUCUAUCCUUGUCUCUCUCUCACCCACACCUCAAACCCUUUCCGAGAACAGCCACCGAGACCACCCUCACCGGCCUUUCUCCCUCCAACGACCCUUACACCACCACCAUUUCUUCCCCUAUGAGUUCUACGUGCCCAGAACGAGGAGAACCCCUUACUUCUCUCUCUUUCUCUCAUUCAUUGCACAAUACCUUCACUGUGCAAAAAGUAAAUCCGACGAGUUCUCGCCAUUUUCCGAUGAGAAACCAACUUGGGAAUCAUUCUCCUAGUUUUCCAACGAAGGAUCAUGAGUUGUAGGCCAUUUUCCGGCUGAUCCCGACCUGGAUUUAAUCUCAUCUUGGUGCAUCGAUUGGAAAUGAUUCAGUCCUCCCUAGUUCAAGCGGCUCUUUGGUAGUGGAAUACUUGUGAGUGGAUCCUUCUUAAAUUGCAUGUUUUUAUAAAAUAUUAGGCUCACGUGCAUUUCAUAUUUCAUGGAUUAAUUACAUUUUAUGAUAUGAUUUACAGAUUGUUGAAUUUAUGCUUUAUGAAGGAUUUAUGAUUUAUCAAAAUUGUUUUUAUACAUAUUGAUGAUUUAUCGAAUUUAUGUUUUACUAAAGGUUAUGACAUAUGGGAUUUUCAUAUAUAGAAUUCUAUGGCUUUACGAAUGUGAAUUAUCUUGGAUUUAUGAAAUGAGGCUUUGAGCUUGUGAGCUUCGGAUUUGGAUAUGAGAUUUUUGAGAUAUGUUUUUGGUGCUUAUCUAGGGGGUUAUCAUACAGCUCAUCCACAUAACACGGGUAUGUAGAUGGCUAUGGUCUUAGGGCACAGUUGAGGAUAGUUAUAUAUAUUUCUUCUCCAGCGUAACCCGAAGUCGUACAGCUUCACCUUCGGGUGAUGGAGCCUACCAUGUUUCUUCACUAGCGUGAUCCAGUGUUGUACAGCUUCACCUUCAGGUGAUGGACAGGUACUGCCUUCGGGCGAAUGAGGAGUUGAUGAUAUUAAUGAUAUACCAUCAGCUUCACUAGCCCGGGGGCUAGUGUUAGUGUGUGAUAAUAUAUAUUUCUUCUCAAGCGUAACUUGGAGUCGUACAGUUUCACCUUCGAGUGAUGGGGCCUACCAUGUUUCUUCACUGGCGUAAACCAGUGUCGUAUAGCUUCACCUUUGGGUGAUGGACAGGUACUGCCUUUGGGCGACUAUGAUACCCCUAAAGAGUACAGUAUUGUUGAGAUUUAUAUGUUUGCCUUCGGACGAUGAUAUCACUGUUAUUGAGCAUGGUUUUACUCAUACUUAUUUACAAAUGAUUUCAUGGCAGCUAGAGUUUUCAGAAAACUUACUAUAUGUAGUAUUAUAUAUGUUUUCAAAACAGGGGGCUAGUAUGUUCCGCAAUAAAAUGGUUUUCCUAUUAUUAGUAUUAAUAUAAAUUAUGGUCCACUCACCUUUUUAUUUUGCGCCCCCUCAAGAUAUAAUGAACAGGACUACGACCCGAGCAUUGAGGCAUUUCCCUACCAAUGACCUUACAUCCCUCGUAUGGCCUCCUUUUAUGAUCAUUGUUACUUAAUGCCUGACCUUUCUCUGGCAUUUUCAUUUAGUGGUAUGCUCUGAACAUAUCCACACAUCUUUAUUUAGAUUUUUUAUUGUUGGAUACUUUGUCUUGUUCAUGUUUAAAUUGGAUUAUUGUUAUAAUUGCCUCUUCAUGUUUAUAAAUUCCUUGUGAUUAUUGUUGUUGCCUAAUUUUGGUUACUUAUCCUUCCAUAUUUUUCGCAUAUUCAUUCAUUCAUGGCUUUCGUCACCUUUGGGUGUCAGCCAGCACGUACCAUCUAGGUGUCAUUUGGACAUAUGGGUUGGAGCGUAUCACAGAAGAAGGCAAAAUCCAAUAAGAUCAAUCAAGAGAAGAAGACUAUUCUCCACCAUUCGGGUUUGAGGCCCUUCUUAUAUAGGAUAAAGACGCAGCAGCUGGAAAUAAUAAAGCUUUUCAUAUUCCAUUUUUAAUAUGUCAAUAAUAUUAUUUUUUUUGUACUAACAAUUUUCUUAGCUUGUUCUAUUCAGGGGGGGGUUCAAAAUUCUCGGAGAUCCAUUUCUUUGCAGACAUUUAUGUUCGACUUAGGGAUGAGUUGGCUAAGUCCCUUCAUGCGACAAUGAUGGAGAAUAGGCAAUCGGUUCUUCAAGAGUCCACCUCUUAGCUUCCUCCCGAGACUCUGAUUGAGUCUAUAGAUCCCCCCAAGGAUGCGGGAUUUCAAAUACUUACAGACACUUUGGAUCAGACUCUCGAGAGGAGGGCAGAGACGUAUUGUAGGGGGAUGGGGAAUGCCCAGCGGCGGGAACCCAGAGAGUCUUCAUCCUUGCAGUCGAAGGGCGAGGUCACAUCUUUGACAACAGAGGUGGCCAGCCUUAGGACUAAGCUCACAUCAUAUAAGAGCCAUAUGUCACUGAUCAUACAAGCCCUUAGUCAGUCCAGCAUUCAUCUCCCAGAUAUUUGUCCCCCGUCAACGUUUGAGCCGCUCUAACUUGAGCAUGCCCAAAACUCCACCCCUUCGACCUCUAAGCCCGUCCUCAACCUUGAGACCUUCUUGCCCCAAGCUUUCCAAUCGCCUGCGAAUGACGACCUUGUAAAUUAUUCCACUUCUUUUCUUAGUUUUUUACUCCCGUACUUUUUAAACUUUUUCAUUGU